rnacentral:rRNA from 1 species
CUACGUGCCAGCAGCCGCGGUAAUACGUAGGUGGCAAGCGUUGUCCGGAAUUAUUGGGCGUAAAGCGCGCGCAGGCGGAUUGGUCAGUCUGUCUUAAAAGUUCGGGGCUUAACCCCGUGAUGGGAUGGAAACUGCCAAUCUAGAGUAUCGGAGAGGAAAGUGGAAUUCCUAGUGUAGCGGUGAAAUGCGUAGAUAUUAGGAAGAACACCAGUGGCGAAGGCGACUUUCUGGACGAAAACUGACGCUGAGGCGCGAAAGCGUGGGGAGCAAACAGGAUUAGAUACCCUGGUAGUCCACGCCCUAAACGAUGUCGAUUAGCUGUUGGGCAGCAUGACUGCUUAGUAGCGAAGCUAACGCGUGAAAUCGACCGCCUGGGGAGUACGGUCGCAAGAUUAAAACUCAAAGGAAUUGACGGGGACCCGCACAAGCGGUGGAUGAUGUGGAUUAAUUCGAUGCAACGCGAAGAACCUUACCUGGUCUUGACAU